UACGUAGGUGGCAAGCGUUGUCCGGAAUUAUUGGGCGUAAAGCGCGCGCAGGCGGCCUCUUAAGUCUGAUGUGAAAGCCCCCGGCUCAACCGGGGAGGGCCAUUGGAGACUGGGAGGCUUGAGUAUAGGAGAGAAGAGUGGAAUUCCCGGUGUAGUGGUGAAAUGCGUAGAGAUCGGGAGGAACACCAGUGGCGAAAGCGACUCUUUGGCCUACAACUGACGCUGAGGCGCGAAAGCGUGGGGAGCAAACAGG
rnacentral:misc_RNA from 1 species